CAUCUGGAGAUCUUGUUAAAAUGCAGAUUCUAUUCUGGCAGGCCUGAGAUGCUGCAGUUCUGGGAGCUCCUGGGUGAUG
ensembl:miRNA